UACGAAGGGGGCUAGCGUUGUUCGGAUUUACUGGGUGUAAAGCGCACGUAGGCGGAUUGGUCAGUUAGGGGUGAAAUCCUGGAGCUCAACUCCAGAACUGCCUUCAAUACUGCCAGUCUCGAGUCCGGAAGAGGUAAGUGGAACUCCUAGUGUAGAGGUGGAAUUCGUAGAUAUUAGGAAGAACACCAGUGGCGAAGGCGGCUUACUGGUCCGGUACUGACGCUGAGGUGCGAAAGCGUGGGGAGCAAACAGG
rnacentral:rRNA from 1 species